rnacentral:rRNA from 1 species
AACACAUGCAAGUCGAACGGCAGCGCGGUUAGGGUAACUUAACUGGCGGCGAGUGGCGGACGGGUGAGUAAUAUGUAGGAAUCUAGCCAGAGGUAGGGGAUAACUUGGGGAAACUCAAGCUAAUACCAUAUGAGCCUUACGGGGGAAAGCGGGGGAACGAAAGUCCUUGUGCCUUUGGAUGAGCCUACAUCGGAUUAGCUAGUUGGUAGGGUAAAGGCCUACUAAGGCGACGAUGUGUAGCGGGUCUGAGAGGAUGAUCCGCCACGGUGGGGCUGAGACACGGCCCAGACUGCUACGGGAGGCAGGAGUGGGGAAUAUUGGACAAUGGGCGCAAGCCUGAUACAGCCAUGCCGCGUGAGUGAUGAAGGCCUUAGGGUUGUAAAGCUCUUUCACCGAUGAAGAUAAUGACGGUAGUCGGAGAAGAAGCCCCGGCUAACUACGUGCCAGCCGCCGCAGUAAAAC